GCCCUUGUAGUGCAGUGGUUAAAUGCUUGGCUGCUAACCAAAACGUUGGAGGUUCAAACCCCCCAGCAGCU
rnacentral:tRNA from 1 species